rnacentral:rRNA from 1 species
CGGCGAGUGAAGCGGGAUCAGCCCAGCACCGAAUCCCCCGGCAUCUCGCCGGCGGGAACUGUGGUGUAUGGGACGCCAACUGUCGUCUGCGCCGGUGGCCGAAGUCCUCCUGAUCGGGGCCUCUCCCAGAGCGGGUGUCAGGCCUUUACUGGCCGCCGGCGCGUCGGCUGCGAGCGUCUCCGGAGUCGGGUUGUUUGGGAAUGCAGCCCUAAGCGGGUGGUAAACUCCAUCUAAGGCUAAAUACUGGCACGAGUCCGAUAGCGGACAAGUACCGUGAG